rnacentral:rRNA from 1 species
UACGUAGGGUGCAAGCGUUGUCCGGAAUUAUUGGGCGUAAAGCGCGUGUAGGCGGCCACGCAGGUCCGCUGUGAAAACUCGAGGCUCAACCUCGAGAUGUCGGUGGAAACCGCGUGGCUAGAGUCCGGAAGAGGAGAGUGGAAUUCCCGGUGUAGCGGUGAAAUGCGCAGAUAUCGGGAAGAACACCCAUGGCGAAGGCAGCUCUCUGGGACGGUACUGACGCUGAGACGCGAAAGCGUGGGGAGCGAACAGG